AAUAAAAUGGCUGAAAGAGCCCUAGUCUGUAAAACUAGUAAUGAGAACUUCUCUUUUAUUA
rnacentral:tRNA from 1 species